GUUGAUCCUGCCGGAGGGCACCGCUAUUGGUGUUCGCUUAAGCCAUGCGAGUCCAGAGUGGUCAUGCACUCGGCGCACGGCUCAGUAACACGCGGAGAACCUGCCCUAAGGUGGGGGAUAACCUCGGGAAACUGAGGAUAAUACCCCAUAGUUCGCGAGCGCUGGAACGCCUCGUGGACGAAAGCUCCGGCGCCUUAGGAUGGCUCUGCGGCCUAUCAGGUUGUAGCGAGUGUAACGUACUCGCUAGCCGACAACGGGUACGGGCGUUGAGAGACGUCGCCCGGAGAUGAAUUCUGAGACACGAAUUCAGGCCCUACGGGGCGCAGCAGGCGCGAAAACUCUGCAAUGCCGGCAACGGCGACAGGGGAACACCAAGUGCUUGCACUAUGUGCAAGCUGUUUUCAUGCCUAAAAAGCAUGGAGAGUAAGGGCUGGGUAAGACGGGUGCCAGCCGCCGCGGUAAUACCCGCAGCCCGAGUGGUGCUCGUUAUUAUUGGGCCUAAAGCGUCCGUAACCGGCUUCGUAAAUGCCUGGGGAAAUCGUGCUGCUCAACAGCACGAAGGCCCGGGUAGACUGCGAGGCUUGAGACCGGGAGAGGCCAGAGGUACUCCAGGGGUAGAGGUGAAAUUCUGUAAUCCUUGGGGGACCACCGGUGGCGAAGGCGUCUGGCUAGAACGGAUCUGACGGCGAGGGACGAAGCCCUGGGGCGCAAACGGGAUUAGAUACCCCGGUAGUCCAGGGUGUAAACGCUGCGGACUUGGUGUCGGGUGUCCUACGGGGGCUCUCGGUGCCGGAGCGAAGGUGCUAAGUCCGCCGCCUGGGGAGUACGGCCGCAAGGUUGAAACUUAAAGGAAUUGGCGGGGGAGCACCGCAACGGGAGGAGCGUGCGGUUUAAUUGGAUCCAACGCCGGGAAGCUCACCGGGUUCGACUGCUUGAUGUGGGCCAGGCUGAUGACCUUGCCUGAAUUGCAGAGAGGUGGUGCAUGGCCGCCGUCAGUUCGUACCGUAAGGCGUUCUGUUAAGUCAGAUAACGAACGAGACCCCUUUCCGCAAUUGCGACCCGGAUCUCCGGAUCCGGAGCACAUUGCGGAGACCGCUUCCGCUAAGGAAGAGGAAGGAGGGGGCAACGGUAGGUCAGUAUGCCCCGAAUUACCCGGGCUACACGCGCGCUACAAAGACCAGGACAAUGGGCAUCGACGCCGAGAGGCGAAGGCAAUCCCGAAACCUGGCCGUAGUUCGGAUCGAGGGCUGCAACUCGCCCUCGUGAAGCUGGAUUCCGUAGUAAUCGUGUCUCAAAAUGGCACGGUGAAUAUGCCCCUGCUCCUUGCACACACCGCCCGUCAAACCAUCUGAGUAGGGUCCGGAUGAGGGUAUCUCUUCCUGGGGUAUUCGAAUCCGGGCUCUGCAAGGAGGGUUAAGUCGUAACAAGGUA
rnacentral:rRNA from 1 species